UAAGGAUAACUACUGUUUAUUGAGUGCCUAUCUUGGUCUGCCAGGCACUUUAUAUACAUUAUCUCUAAUUACACAAGUACCCUAGAUAGGGAUAUUUGGCCAUCUCAGAAGUGAGGAAAAUUAGGGCUGAGAAAGAUUAAGUAACUUUUUCCAAAGUCACCUAACUUAAUAAGUGGCAGGUGUAUCUAACAGAUCCUGUGCUCAUUCUAGUAAACUAGGUCCCAGCGAUCUAAGCAAGCUUGCUAGGAGCAGCGGUAGAAGCUUUUUGCUUCCUGGACUAGGAUGUCCUGUCUGCUCUGUAAAUUUGAAAGACUUUGGAAAUCAACCUCUGCCAAGUCUGCAUCCUCAAACCUAGCCCCACAAUAAAGGUUCUUGGAUUUAGGUAUACCGUGUUUACUUUCUGGGCAUCAGUAUGACUGGCCCAGUAUCUUGAGGGGGUUCUUUAGUAACGUUUUCUCUGCUUGCAGCUGGUCACUUGCUCUGGGGCUUUCAAGGAAGGUUCUUUGCGGAUCAUCCGGAAUGGAAUUGGAAUCCACGAGCAUGCCAGCAUUGACUUACCAGGCAUCAAAGGAUUAUGGCCACUGCGGUCUGACCCUAAUCGUGAGACUGAUGACACUUUGGUGCUCUCUUUUGUGGGCCAGACAAGAGUUCUCAUGUUAAAUGGAGAGGAGGUAGAAGAAACCGAACUGAUGGGUUUCGUGGAUGAUCAGCAGACUUUCUUCUGUGGCAACGUGGCUCAUCAGCAGCUUAUCCAGAUCACUUCAGCAUCGGUGAGGUUGGUCUCUCAAGAACCCAAAGCUCUGGUCAGUGAAUGGAAGGAGCCUCAGGCCAAGAACAUCAGUGUGGCCUCCUGCAAUAGCAGCCAGGUGGUGGUGGCUGUGGGCAGGGCCCUCUACUAUCUGCAGAUCCAUCCUCAGGAGCUCCGGCAGAUCAGCCACACAGAGAUGGAACAUGAAGUGGCUUGCUUGGACAUCACCCCAUUAGGAGACAGCAAUGGACUGUCCCCUCUUUGUGCCAUUGGCCUCUGGACGGACAUCUCGGCUCGUAUCUUGAAGUUGCCCUCUUUUGAACUACUGCACAAGGAGAUGCUGGGUGGAGGUAUGUGUCAUUUAGGGACCUGGGUUGGGACAGAGUCAAAAUGUGGAACAAGAACAUAAUGUCCCCCUUUCUCACAGAGAUCAUUCCUCGCUCCAUCCUGAUGACCACCUUUGAGAGUAGCCAUUACCUCCUUUGUGCCUUGGGAGAUGGAGCGCUUUUCUACUUUGGGCUCAACAUUGAGACAGGUCUGUUGAGCGACCGUAAGAAGGUGACUUUGGGCACCCAGCCCACCGUAUUGAGGACUUUUCGUUCUCUUUCUACCACCAACGUCUUUGCUUGUUCUGACCGCCCCACUGUCAUCUAUAGCAGCAACCACAAAUUGGUCUUCUCAAAUGUCAACCUCAAGGAAGUGAA
rnacentral:sRNA from 1 species